AUUGAACGCUGGCGGUAGGCCUAACACAUGCAAGUCGAACGGCAACAGGGAAAAGGCUUGCUCUUAGCGGAGGAGAGGGGGGGAGGGGAGAAGUGUACAGCGGAAUCUACGUUGGCGGGGGGGAAAAAGUGGGGAAGGUAGCUAAAAUAGCGUAAAGGAGCAACGGGAAAAAGGAGGGGAUCUGGGGACCUUGCGAGAGGGAAUGAGCAGAUGUCGGAUUAGCUAGUUGGGGGGGUAAAGGCACACCAAGGCGACGAUCCCUAGCUGGUCUGAGAGGAUGAUCAGCCACACUGGAACUGAGACACGGUCCAGACUCCUACGGGAGGCAGCAGUGGGGAAUAUUGGACAAUGGGCGCAAGCCUGAUCCAGCCAUACCGCGUGUAUGAAGAAGGCCUUCGGGUUGUAAAGCCCUUUUGUUGGGGAAGAAAAGCAUCAGGUUAAUACCCCUCCUUUUUGACGGUACCCAAAGAAUAAGCACCGGCUAACUUCGUG
rnacentral:rRNA from 1 species